AAUUGGAAUUUUCUAGAGAUUUCCAAAAUUGCAACCACUUAUGAAACACUGUGAUGAUCAUGACUAAUCAUUUUUUUGGUUAUAUAAGUAGACAAAUGAACAGUCCUGCCAUUCAACAGACAUUCUACCCAGCAGAUAGACGUUCAUCAGCCUAGCAGCAUCAACAACUGCAGUAAAAAUACAGAGCAGUAAUAUCUACACUUGUUUUAAUCAAGCAACCCCCACUGAAAAGAUUCCUAAAAGAGGAAUUGAGACACAACGUGAAACCCAGCAAUCCAAACAAGUUGUCUGCACCAUCGAAAGAAACACUAUGGAGAUUCCAAGGCAGACCAUUGGCAUAACUCACGUUGAGGAGGGUCUAAACGAGGCUAACGGAAUCAUUUCCUCGUUCAGCGACUGGUGUGUUGUGGGAUUCGUUCAAUGCUUACAGGUAGUAGCACAGGCAAAAGAACUGAUAGCGACUCCACAGUUUAAUGAUCACGUUGAAGCCCUUCAGCGUCGUUUUCGUAAUCCACCACCACUCCCCAUUUUAGAAGUACACAUUGAUGAACCUGAAGAUGAGCAGCCUCGAGUACCAAAGAAAAACCCUGUAAAUCACCAAGAAAUCUAUGAAAAAAUAAAAACCCGUUAUGAGCCAUGGCGGCAACCAGUAAAUGAGGAUAUUCCAGCUGUACCUGUAAAUCAACGCCAUAGUUUAAGUUAUUUAGAAACAUGUAUCAAAGACUGUAAUAAAUUAUACAAAAAUGGGGAAAACAGGGUUUUGUUAAAUGCAGCAAGGUUUGGGGAAUGGUUAGAAGUGUCGUUUCAAACAUUUCGAGAAGAUAAGAAAAGGGGAGGGUACUUUCGCCAAAAUUCGAUUUAUGGUUAAAAAACAAUUGCGGCAUUUGGGAAGAAGUGGGCAAAAGUAUUGAGAGAAUUUUACGAUCUAACAAAGGAUUAUCCCCAAUUAAUUUACUGCCGCCUACCCUUAAGUUUUUUCCGAAAAAACAAAAAGCAUAUAGUGAAUUUUUUUAGCAUACACGACAAGGAAGGUAGAAAAUGGGGACACCGAUUAGAUUGCAAAUGCAAACAUUGUGGCCCCUUGUAAAUAAGAUAUUUAACCAUUAGCACAAUGUCUGGAUGUCAGUGGUCUCGAAAAGAGCAUUUUGUAUGAAAAACUAAAAUGUGCUAGACAAUUAUUUAAACAGAACUCUGACAUCAUGCUUACGAAUAAAAUUUGUUUGACAAAGAAAAGGGAACUGGCAGUUCCCUUUAGUUCAAUAGAACUAGUGAUGACAUCAUGCUUAUGAAAAAAAUUUGUUUGACAAAGAAAAGGGAACUGGCAGUUCCCUUUAGUUCAAUAGAACUCUGACAUCAUUUUUUGAUCUAUAUUUAUUAUAUUAUAUAUUGUUAAAGUUAUAUGUUUUAAUGGUAAAGUCAGCCGUUUUUAAUAAAGUGAAAAACUCAGACAUGUAAAC
rnacentral:lncRNA from 1 species